UACAGAGGGGGCAAGCGUUGUUCGGAAUUACUGGGCGUAAAGGGCGCGUAGGCGGCCUUCUAAGUCGAACGUGAAAUCCCCGGGCUCAACCCGGGAACUGCGUCCGAGACUGAAAGGCUUGAAUCCGGGAGAGGGAUGUGGAAUUCCAGGUGUAGCGGUGAAAUGCGUAGAUAUCUGGAGGAACACCGAUGGCGAAGGCGGCAUCCUGGACCGAUAUUGACGCUGAUGCGCGAAAGCCAGGGGAGCAAACGGG
rnacentral:rRNA from 1 species